GUGACCAGCCGGGGGGCAGUGGGUGGGGUGGCGGCCGCAGCUGUGGCUUUCACAUUUGGGCUGGAGAGAGUGCAAGGGACUCGUCCUGCCCCUGGGAACCCAGUCGAAGGCCCAGGGCCGGGGGCGUUGGAGGAAGUCGCCCCGAGCGGCUCGCCUGUACCUGGAGGCGAGGCGACCCUGGGAGCCGGCGUCCCGCCUUCGGCGGCCUCCUUCUCCGACCCUCCUCCCGGGCUGGCUGCGGGCGGCUCCAGCUCUUUCUCGAGGGCUGCGGCGGGAACCGGCGAGCGGGCUGGACCGGACCCUCCCGCUGAGGACCGGCCGGAGGAGCAGAGGGAGCGCGGCGGGUCAGUCCGUCAGCCCAGAGGUCAGGCCGCGGGUUCCCGUCCGUGGUCCGUCCUUCGCCCAGCACUCCUGGCUAGAGUCCGCGACCUCCCCACGCUGCUCCUGCUUCUCCUUUGAGCAUGCCACCAAAUCCUCUGGCAGGGUGAUUUUUUUUCUCCUUGCUUUUGCCCAGAAGGAGAUACAUAUUGAAAGGACAUCUGUCCUCAUCGCUACCCCUCUCCUCUUAAAAGUUUUCUUUCAGGGGGAAUGCUUGUAUUCCAUUUGAUGAUUACUACUCCAGCCCCUGUCUGGUUUAGCAACUGGGAUCACCUUCAGAUCAGAUCUUAAAUCUUAUCACUUACAAAAUUACAGAGUUGUUCUCUCCCGCCCAAGAAGGGCAAAUGGACUUUGGAGUUAAGAUGCAGGGGGGUGAACCAGUGUCAACAAUGAAAGUCUCCGAGAGCGAAGGAAGGCUGGAGGGCCUGGCCACCGCGGUGACCCCGAACAAGAACAGCAGCAACAGCAGCUGUGGGGGUGGAAGCAGCAGCAGCGGCAGCAGCCGAGGCGGCAGUGCCAAAGGCUGGCAGUACAGUGAUCACAUGGAAAGUGUGUGUGGCUAUUUAAUGAAGUACACCAACCUUGUCACUGGGUGGCAAUACAGGUUUUUUGUUUUAAACAAUGAAGCUGGGCUAUUGGAGUACUUUGUGAAUGAACAGUCUAGAAAUCAAAAACCCAGAGGUACUUUGCAGCUUGCAGGAGCUGUAAUAUCACCCAGUGAUGAGGACUCUCACACCUUCACUGUAAAUGCUGCCAGUGGGGAACAGUAUAAACUCAGAGCCACAGAUGCUAAAGAGCGACAACAUUGGGUUAGCAGACUUCAGAUAUGUACACAACACCACACUGAAGCUAUUGGCAAGAAUAAUCCUCCUCUGAAAUCACGGAGCUUCUCACUUGCAUCUAGUGGUAAUUCUCCUAUAUCCCAGAGGAGACCCAGUCAAAAUGCCAUUUCCUUUUUUAAUGUUGGACAUUCCAAACUACAAUCAGUGAGCAAAAGAACUAACUUACCUCCAGACCAUCUUGUGGAAGUCAGAGAAAUGAUGUCUCAUGCUGAAGGACAACAAAGAGACUUAAUUAGAGGAAUUGAAUGCCUUCCUGCUUCCGGCCAUCUUAGUUCCUUGGACCAGGAUCUCUUAAUGCUCAAGGCUACUUCCAUGGCAACUAUGAACUGCUUAAACGACUGCUUUCAUAUUCUCCAGUUGCAGCAUGCAUCACAUCAGAAGGGCUCAUUGCCUUCAGGAACGACAAUCGAGUGGUUAGAACCAAAGAUACCUUUAUCAAACCACUAUAAAAAUGGAGCUGACCAGCCCUUUGCAACUGAGCAGAGUAAGCCAGUGGCAGUCCCAGAAGAGCAGUGCGUUGCAGAAUCUGGACUAUUCGCAAGGGAACCUGAAGAAAUAAAUGCAGAUGAUGAGGUGGAGGAUACUUGUGACAACAAGGAGGAUGACCUGGGAGCUGUGGAAGAGCAACGCAGUGUUAUCCUACAUCUCUUAUCACAGCUCAAGCUGGGCAUGGACUUAACAAGAGUGGUGCUGCCUACAUUUAUCCUAGAGAAGCGUUCCCUGUUGGAAAUGUAUGCAGACUUUAUGUCUCAUCCAGACCUGUUUAUAGCCAUCUCUAAUGGAGCUACAGCUGAGGACAGAAUGAUUCGUUUUGUUGAAUACUACCUUACCUCAUUUCAUGAAGGCCGUAAGGGAGCCAUUGCUAAGAAACCAUACAAUCCUAUCAUUGGAGAAACGUUUCACUGUUCCUGGAGGAUGCCAAAGCGCGAGGUAGCAUCCAGUGUCAUUAGCAGCUCUUCCACCCAGGCUGUCACAAAUCAUGCUCCUCCGUCAGAGGAGGCUUUGAGCCAGGUGGGAUCAGACUGUUACAUGGUCAGAUUUGUUGCUGAGCAGGUUUCCCAUCAUCCUCCAGUCUCAGGAUUUUAUGCAGAAUGUGCCGAGAGGAAGAUGUGUGUAAAUGUGCACGUCUGGACUAAGAGCAAAUUCUUAGGCAUGUCGAUAGGUGUGACAAUGGUUGGGGAAGGAAUCCUCAGUCUACUAGAGCAUGGAGAAGAGUAUACGUUUUCUCUACCUUGUGCAUAUGCCCGGUCAAUUUUAACUGUUCCUUGGGUAGAACUGGGUGGCAAAGUCAAUGUCAACUGUGCAAAAACUGGGUAUUCAGCCAGCAUCACUUUUCAUACUAAGCCAUUUUAUGGUGGCAAACUGCACCGGGUUACAGGUGAAGUAAAGCACAACAUCACCAACACUGUUGUUUGCAGAGUACAAGGGGAAUGGAAUAGUGUUCUUGAGUUCACUUACAGCAAUGGAGAGACAAAGUACGUGGACUUGACUAAAUUGGCAGUGACGAAGAAAAGAGUAAGACCUCUGGAGAAGCAGGACCCAUUUGAAUCCAGGCGAUUGUGGAGAAAUGUGACAGACUCUCUGAGGGAAUCUGAAAUCGAUAAGGCCACAGAGCAUAAACGUACCCUGGAAGAACGCCAGAGGACUGAAGAAAGGCAUCGUACUGAAACAGGCACACCUUGGAAAACCAAAUAUUUUAUUAAAGAGGGAGAUGGCUGGGUUUAUCACAAACCCCUUUGGAAAAUAAUUCCAACAGUACAACCAGCAGAGUGACACAUACUAUCUAAGACUCGACCAAAUGAACUUCUCUAUUUACCCUAAACUCUCCCAGAAUGGAGUCAUUGCACUGAGUGACCUGCUUCCUGAUUGCACAGACUGAAACUAACUACACACGAAUGUACCAAUUAGGGCACCAUAGAACUGCAGCAAGACCAAAGUGUUGAAGAAGCACGAUGGACCUCUCACCAAGCCGUUCAUGUGAUGUGAGCAAUAUCAUCUGAAGCCCUUUCACCUGAAUUAUUAGAUGAUUAAUCUUUUAUCCAGUUCCUGCUCCAAAAGCUAAGUUUGAAUCCCCUCUUUUUGCAUGGGGGCAGCAGAUAAACACAACAGUGAGAACUCAGUGAUUUUGAUUUCUUUGUAGUGAAAAUUGAAGUCUCUUUCAGAGUUUGUGCUUUGCUUUCUGUCAGUAACUGAAGUAUUCACUACUUUUACAACAAAUCAAGAGAAGGAAGAAGAUGACCCAGAAGUGGCUUCAGCCAUUCAUUGUGCCUGAAAUCAGUGUUAAAAAAAAGUCAACCAGGUUGUCGUAACAAGGCAUUCUGUUCCUUCAAAGAGAACUGUGUGCCUGUGUCUGAGGAACUUAUCCGUUAUCCACCUCUGUUGGAACUCUCUUUUAAGAAGUAUAUUUAUAAAUUGAUUAGAAUUAUAACCAUGGAGAAUUUUUUCUUCUGAGCAUUUUAAUAUACUUGAAAACAGCAUUGACUUGAAAAAUUUCAGAGCAUUUUUCAAUACCUAGUUUUAUUAAAUAUUAUACUUGAGAGACAGUUUUUUAAAACAUGGUCAUGUCAAUAUGAUGAGAUUUUGGCCCUUCUCAAGAACUGAGGCAUUAAAGAACAAGCAAAUAUUAAAAAAUAAGACUUACUGUUUUCCUUACCUUUUUUUCACUUGUAGGUUAAUAUAUCCAAUAUUACGUGCUAUCCCUCUGGAUAAGUAUGCUUUAUCUUACCUCUGUUCACUCAAAAUUUAAAACAACUAUUCAUAUUUGUCAGUAAUUCAGAAGUUAUAUAUGUGACUAAGUGCAUGUAUGGUAUGUUUUGUUUUUUCAAGGAAACGCAAAUGCUGAAGAAAGAGUAUGAAAUAAAAAGGUAUCAGGAAAAAGAGAUAUCAGGAAGUUGUAUUCAGGAAUUGUAUGUUAAGAAGUCCAAGACUAGAAGUGAAAAAAAGAGAAAAUUCUGGCCUUUAGAUUGUGUAUUGGGAGAGGUAUGGCAUCUGCAUAUUGAUUCACUGAAUUCUGCAAGUUGUAACCAACAUCACCUCUAAUACCUACUUGUCGCCAAAAAUAAGAAGAAGAAGAAGAAAAGUAUUGAGUCCCUUCACUCCACAACAACCCUGUGAAAUUGUAAAGUCAGGGAUGGCUGUUCAAACUUUACAGAUGAAGAAAUUAUUGCUCAGAAAGUUUAGUGCUCACUUCAAGUUACUUAGCUAGACCUUCAUUCAUUCAACAAACAUCUGCUGAGUAUUCCUUUGGGGCUGGGAUUCCUUUGUCUUUUGGCUGGGGAUAAAAUAAAAGUAUUCCUUUGCUACCCUGCAUUGGACUCUGAUGUGGCAAAUACUCUCCCUAUCCUUAGAGACUUGGAUGAGGGAAGAAGCUAAAACUUAAUUCCUGAGAAUGGGAUGUUGACACGGGCAAGGCUAUUGGUCUUUCCAAAUCCCAGAAAAGCAUCAGUGAUACCUAGGUAAUGUGGAAGGCAGAGUUGAGCAGUGAGCUGAAAACAACAGGGUUGGUUCAAAGUCUGCAUAAGAAGCCCCAAACAAUGCAUCCAGGUGACUAACCCUUAUUCCACCCUACAAGAGACUCUUGAGAGAUUGAACCAGAACCAACUGGUUCUGAUUGAACCAAUUCAGAUCUUUCAGCCCCUUCCCCUAUCCCAUUCCCAAAAUAUUGGCAGUCAGGCUUAUACCCUUAGGCGAGAGAUUAAAAGAUCCAUUUUAGGAGAACAACUCCAGAAAAAAAAAGUCCUACGAUAUAUUUGAAGGGUCCACCAGCAAAAAGCUCAGCUGACAACCCUGUUAAUUACUUUACAGUAAAGCCAAGUCAGCAGUUCCUCCAACAUAACCCUCCACCCUCUCACCAAUACAUUACACUUAUCCAUCGUCCA